UGCAUACAUGACUGUAAAUCGCUUUGGAUAAAAGCAUCUGAUAAAUGGAAUAUA
rfam:Salmo salar isolate Sally breed double haploid chromosome ssa11, whole genome shotgun sequence.